AUGGCCAAAUGCACCAAGAAAGUCAGAAUCAUCAGUAAAUAUGGGACCCGCUAUGGGGCCUCCCUCCGGAAAAUGGUGAAGAAGAAUUGAAAUCACCCAGCACACCAAGUACAUUUGCUCUUUCUGUGGCAAAACCAAGAUGAAGAGAUGAGCUACGGGGAUCUGGCACUGUGGUUUCUGCAUGAAGACAGUGGCUGGCAGUGCCUGGACCUACAAUACCACUUCUGCUGUCACGGUAAAGUCGCCAUCAGAAGACUGAAGGAAUUCAAAGACCGGUAG
rnacentral:lncRNA from 1 species